AUACGGAGGGUCCAAGCGUUAUCCGGAUUCAUUGGGUUUAAAGGGUCCGCAGGCGGGAAAAUAAGUCAGUGGUGAAAGCCUACAGCUCAACUGUAGAACUGCCAUUGAUACUGUUUUUCUUGAGUAUAGAUGAAGUGGGCGGUAUAUAUCAUGUAGCGGUGAAAUGCAUAGAUAUGAUAUAGAACACCGAUUGCGAAGGCAGCUCACUAAACUAUUACUGACGCUCAGGGACGAAAGCGUGGGGAGCGAACAGGAUUAGAAACCCCGGUAGUCC
rnacentral:rRNA from 1 species